rnacentral:rRNA from 1 species
UAGGGAAUCUUCCACAAUGGACGAAAGUCUGAUGGAGCAACGCCGCGUGAGCGAAGAAGGUUUUCGGAUCGUAAAGCUCUGUUGCGAGGGAAGAACAAGUACGGGAGUAACUGCCCGUACCUUGACGGUACCUCGUUAGAAAGCCACGGCUAACUACGUGCCAGCAGCCGCGGUAAUACGUAGGUGGCAAGCGUUGUCCGGAAUUAUUGGGCGUAAAGCGCGCGCAGGCGGUCCUUUAAGUCUGAUGUGAAAGCCCACGGCUCAACCGUGGAGGGUCAUUGGAAACUGGGGGACUUGAGUGCAGAAGAGGAAAGCGGAAUUCCACGUGUAGCGGUGAAAUGCGUAGAGAUGUGGAGGAACACCAGUGGCGAAGGCGGCUUUCUGGUCUGUAACUGACGCUGAGGCGCGAAAGCGUGGGGAGCAAACA